rnacentral:rRNA from 1 species
UACAGAGACUGCAAGCGUUAUUCGGAUUCACUGGGCGUAAAGGGUGCGCAGGCGGCCAAGUGUGUUAGGCGUGAAAGCCCGGGGCCUAACCCCGGAAUUGCACCUAAAACUACAUGGCUAGAGCAUUGGAGAGGGUAGCAGAAUUCACGGUGUAGCAGUGAAAUGCGUAGAUAUCGUGAGGAAUACCAGAGGCGAAGGCGGCUACCUGGACAAUUGCUGACGCUCAGGCACGAAAGCGUGGGGAGCAAAAGGG